rnacentral:tRNA from 1 species
GGGGACAUAGCUCAAUUGGUAGAGCACCGGCUUUGCAAGCCGGGGGUUGUGGGUUCGAGUCCCAUUGUCUCCAC